rnacentral:rRNA from 1 species
GCUUACGCCAUACCAACCUGGCUAUGCCCGAUCUCGUCUGAUCUCGGAAGCUAAGCAGGUUUGGGCCUGGUUAGUACUUGGAUGGGAGACCGCCUGGGAAUACCAGGUGCUGUAAGCU